AGAUGUCAACCCGCUCCAGUAUUUUUGCCUGGGAAAUUCCGUGGACAGAAGAGCCUGGCAGGCUACGGUCCAUGAAGUCAUAGAUUGCGGUGUGACUGAGCCAGUACCCACUACUUUAUUUCGAACUAAUGGUACCAGACUCCCUGGUAGGUUGUGAAAUCAGCUUAGUGUUUUUUUUUUUUUUUUUUAAAUAGAAGAACAGAAUAGAAAAUAGUUCCUUGCAUAGUAAUGGGUGGAUCGUGCCCAUGUGACCUGCCACUGUGGAUGCUGUCCUGGAUUGCCUGUCCAAGGUGGCAACUGUUGGCUUCCACACGGAGGGGGAACAGGACUCGGAGCCCUGAAGGAUUUUUACAGCAGCCUGUGGACCUUAGGUGGG